UACAGAGGUCCCGAGCGUUGUUCGGAUUCAUUGGGCGUAAAGGGUGCGUAGGCGGCGAGGCCAGUCUGAUGUGAAAUCCCGGGGCUCAACCCCGGAACUGCAUUGGAUACUGCCUUGCUAGAGUACUGGAGAGGGAACUGGAAUUUACGGUGUAGCAGUGAAAUGCGUAGAGAUCGUAAGGAAGGCCAGUGGCGAAGGCGAGUUCCUGGACAGUGACUGACGCUGAGGCACGAAGGCCAGGGGAGCAAACGGG
rnacentral:rRNA from 1 species